rnacentral:rRNA from 1 species
AUUGAACGCUGGCGGCAUGCUUUACACAUGCAAGUCGAACGGCAGCGGGGAGGAGCUUGCUUCUCUGCCGGCGAGUGGCGAACGGGUGAGUAAUACAUCGGAACGUGUCGAGAAGAGGGGGAUAACCACCCGAAAGGGUGGCUAAUACCGCAUAAAUUCUGAGGAAGAAAGCUGGGGACCUGGGAAUAGGCCUAGCGCUUUUUGAGCGGCCGAUGUCGGAUUAGCUAGUUGGUGAGGUAAAGGCUCACCAAGGCGAAGAUCUGUAGCGGGUCUGAGAGGAUGAUCCGCCACACUGGGACUGAGACACGGCCCAGACUCCUACGGGAGGCAGCAGUGGGGAAUUUUGGUCAAUGGGGGCAACCCUGAUCCAGCCAUGCCGCGUGUAUGAAGAAGGCCUUAGGGUUGUAAAGUACUUUUGUUAGGGAAGAAAAGUCAGCUGUGAAUAAUGGCUGAUACUGACGGUACCUAAAGAAUAAGCACCGGCUAACUACGUG